GCAGAGGGCAGGCCUGGUUUCAGAGGCUAGGGCAUGUAUUUAAUAAUUUCUCCAAAAUAUAGAUGUUGGUGUCGGGGCGUUCUGGAGCAGAUCCCAACGAGCCGGGCCCAGCGAAUGGAAAUGCCUUCUCCAUUUCUCGGAGAACAAGGCCAGUGGAGUAUGCCUUCUAUCAACUCUUUAAAGGGAGAACUCCCAGAAGCCAGCAGUGCCCUUGACAUAACCAGCUCAAAUUCAGGCUGCCAAGGCCACUACAAGCACCUCUUAUCACAACGCCUUGCCAGAACAUGACACAGAAUCUGUCAAAUUUCAUUUCUUAGUCCCUCAAAUCCCUAUGCUGCCCUGAACCCAGAACCUGACACCUGACAGCCCUGGAAUGUCUUUACAGACUCUUGGCGUGGUUCACUCUGAGGCUAUGAGGGGACUGAAAGUUUCCUGCCUUUACCGACACGUCUGCUCCUCAGGUUCAAGGACCUGGUGACGCCCCUUUCCUAUGUCCACUGAGGUGACAAUGCUUUGGAUGAGGAGGUGGUAUCAUGGUACUCCCGUGGGAUUUCCCGAAGAAGGUAAAGCCACUGUCCAUCAAAAGUAAAAUUCUGAUUCUCCUUGGUUCCAUCUCUUUUCUUGUACAAACACAUACUGAGUACUAUGUAGCCCCUCUUUGAGGCAAUCCCCCCAAAUGGUCACAUGUUUCAUGAGAUGCCCCACAACAGCCCAGGACAUAGGCCAACUAUGUGUUAUCUGCAUCACAUAACUCUGGUAAUACAGGAGAGUUCAGAUCUGAGGCUGUGGGAGAAGGAUAUAGAAGAAUACCGCAGUCAAUGGAGAUAGAUAGCAACACUCUUCACUGAGGAAGGUGGUACGUCUUUUAAGACAGCCAUUCGCAGAUCUUCAAGAAACUGGGACAAAAUAAAACACCCCAAAUCAGAGGUGUCUCA
rnacentral:lncRNA from 1 species